rnacentral:rRNA from 1 species
CAGAGACUGCAAGCGUUAUUCGGAUUCACUGGGCGUAAAGGGUGCGCAGGCGGUUGGGUGUGUCAGAUGUGAAAUCCCGAGGCUCAACCUCGGAACUGCGUCUGAAACUACUCGACUAGAGUACUGGAGAGGGUAACGGAAUUCACGGUGUAGCAGUGGAAUGCGUAGAUAUCGUGAGGAACACCAGAGGCGAAGGCGGUUACCUGGACAGUUACUGACGCUCAGGCACGAAAGCAUGGGGAGCAAAAGGGAUUAGAUACCCCUGUAGUCCAUGCCCUAAACGGUGCACACUAGGCCUUAGCGGAUUCGACCCCACUAGGGCCCAAGCUAACGCGUUAAGUGUGCCGCCUGAGGACUACGGUCGCAAGACUA